rnacentral:lncRNA from 1 species
AUGACACAGCCACCCAGGAUGGAGGCAGGGAGCAGAGCUGGAGGCUCAUGCAGGAACACAGCCAGACCAUGGCACACUCCUGUCCUCAGCCACUCAGCUGAAGGGAUUUGCUGCUUUCUACGAGGACAGCGACAUCAAGGUACCAUAGGCAUGAGCAACGUUUCGAGACGAUGAGCUAUAUUCAGUUGUGGUGGGUUAACCUUGGCUAAAGGCCAAAGUGCAACCCAACCACUCAAACAUUACCCUCCUCAACCAGACAAGGGGAUCAAGUAGGAUGAAAAAGCUCACAGUCAUGAAAGAAAGGGAGAUCACUUACUAAUUACCGUCACAGGAAAAAGCACUUGACUUGAGGAGAAUUAAUUUAAUUUAUUGCAAAUUAAAAAUUGAAUAGAAUGUCGAGAAAUUAAGAAAAAAAUAAAACUAAAUUCC